rnacentral:rRNA from 1 species
CCUACGGGUGGCAGCAGUGGGGGAUAUUGCACAAUGGGCGAAAGCCUGAUGCAGCGACGCCGCGUGAGGGAAGACGGUCUUCGGAUUGUAAACCUCUGUCUUUGGGGAAGAAUAGAGACGGUACCCAAAGAGGAAGCUCCGGCUAACUACGUGCCAGCAGCCGCGGUAAUACGUAGGGAGCGAGCGUUGUCCGGAAUUACUGGGUGUAAAGGGAGCGUAGGCGGGCUUGUAAGUUGAAUGUCUAAUCCACCGGCUCAACCGGUGAUCGCGUUCAAAACUGCAGGUCUUGAGUGAAGUAGAGGCAGGCGGAAUUCCUAGUGUAGCGGUGAAAUGCGUAGAUAUUAGGAGGAACACCAGUGGCGAAGGCGGCCUGCUGGGCUUUAACUGACGCUGAGGCUCG